rnacentral:rRNA from 1 species
UACGGAAGGCAGCAGUGGGGAAUAUUGCACAAUGGGCGAAAGCCUGAUGCAGCUAUGCCGCGUGUAUGAAGAAGGCCUUAGGGUUGUAAAGUACUUUCAUCGGGGAGGAAAAAACAAAACUAAUAAUUUUAUUUCUUGACGUUACCCGAAAAAGAAGCACCGGCUAACUCCGUGCCAGCAGCCGCGGUAAUACGGAGGGUGCUAGCGUUAAUCAGAAUUACUGGGCGUAAAGAGCACGUAGGUGGUUUUUUUAAGUCAGAUGUGAAAUCCCUGGGCUUAACCUGGAACUGCAUUUUGAAACUGAAAUACUAGAGUAUCGUAGAGGGAGGUAGAAUUCUAGGUGUAGCGGUGAAAUGCGUAGAUAUCUGGAGGAAUACCUGUGGCGAAAGCGGCCUCCUAAACGAAUACUGACACUGAGGUGCGAAAGCGUGGGGAGCAAACAGGGAUUAGAUCC